AGUUCAAUACCUUCUU
rnacentral:sRNA from 1 species